rnacentral:rRNA from 1 species
UACGAAGGGGACUAGCGUUGUUCGGAAUUACUGGGCGUAAAGCGCGUGUAGGCGGCAGCGCAAGUCGGGCGUGAAAUCCCACGGCUCAACCGUGGAAGUGCACUCGAAACUGCGCAGCUAGAGUCCUGGAGAGGAAGGUGGAAUGCUUGGUGUAGAGGUGAAAUUCGUAGAUAUCAAGCGGAACACCGGUGGCGAAGGCGGCCUUCUGGACAGUGACUGACGCUGAGACGCGAAAGCGUGGGGAGCAAACAGG